rnacentral:rRNA from 1 species
UUGGAGAGUUUGAUCCUGGCUCAGGACGAACGCUGGCGGCGUGCCUAAUACAUGCAAGUCGAGCGGAGUUACUUUGAAAGCUUGCUUUCAAAGUAACUUAGCGGCGGACGGGUGAGUAACACGUAGGCAACCUGCCCCUUAGACUGGGAUAACUACCGGAAACGGUAGCUAAUACCGGAUAAUUUCUCUUUUCUCCUGAAGAAAGAAUGAAAGACGGAGCAAUCUGUCACUGAGGGAUGGGCCUGCGGCGCAUUAGCUAGUUGGUGGGGUAACGGCCCACCAAGGCGA